rnacentral:lncRNA from 1 species
UUGUCCUCAUGUUCAGCGGGUGGAGAAGAGGGAGACUAAGACACAGACGGCAGCGGCCGCAGGGGGUGGGCUGAAGAUGCCCAGACCAAGGAAUAAAUUACACCGCUUGCAAUUCAGAGAGCGCCUGGUGUCUGGAAUGAACAAGGAAGAAAGGUGCGGGGCUGGAGGAGGUGCAGGGGCAGAUGAAGACACGGAGCGCUGCACGACCAUCACCUACUCCGUUCCAUGCUGGCUUCCUAGAUGGCCACUCCAGUUAUCUUUGGCCAACCGUGUCCUGCUGGGAUGCAGUGGGGAGUCCAGAGGGAAUCUUCCACCCCUUCACCCUCCUUUUCUCCAGCUGACUUGCUGCCCACCCAUUCAUAGAUCUUAUGUGCUGUGCCAGCCUCUUCUCCAGCAAUAAGAAGAUGCUUCAAGUCUUCACAAUCAAGCCCCACCCCAAUCAAAC